rnacentral:rRNA from 1 species
UACGGAGGGUGCAAGCGUUAUCCGGAUUCACUGGGUUUAAAGGGUGCGUAGGUGGCUUUGUAAGUCAGUGGUGAAAUCUUAGAGCUUAACUCUAAAACUGCCAUUGAUACUGCUUAGCUUGAAUCAAGUAGAGGUGGAUGGAAUAUUACAUGUAGCGGUGAAAUGCUUAGAUAUGUAUUAGAACACCGAUUGCGAAGGCAGUUCACUAUGCUGUAACUGACGCUGAGGCACGAAAGUGUGGGGAUCAAACAGG